GACGAACGCUGGCGGCGUGCCUAAUACAUGCAAGUAGAACGCUGAAGAGAGGAGCUUGCUCUUCUUGGAUGAGUUGCGAACGGGGGAGUAACGCGUAGGUAACCUGCCUUGUAGCGGGGGAUAACUAUUGGAAACGAUAGCUAAUACCGCAUAACAAUGGAUGACACAUGUCAUUUAUUUGAAAGGGGCAAUUGCUCCACUACAAGAUGGACCUGCGUUGUAUUAGCUAGUAGGUGAGGUAAUGGCUCACCUAGGCGACGAUACAUAGCCGACCUGAGAGGGUGGUCCGGCCAAACUGGAAUGGGAAACCGCCCCGACCUCUUACGGGGGCAACAGUUGGGAAAUUUUGGCAAAUGGGGCAACCCUGACCGAGCAACGCCGCGCGAGUGAAGAAGGUUUUCGGAUCGUAAAGCUCUGUUGUAAGUCAAGAACGGGUGUGAGAGUGGAAAGUUCACGCUGUGACGGUAGCUUAACAGAAAGGGACGGCUAACUACGUG
rnacentral:rRNA from 1 species